GAGCUAACAAAAGAAAGAGUCCCAAAAGAAUAUGGGACUUUUGGGAGAGUAGAGGAGAUCUCAUUUACGAAGAGGAGAGAACAUCCACGUGCUGAUAGCAGCAGCUAAUAGAGCUGCCUGAUCUGGUGCUGGCUGGGCAAACCAACGCUAAAGGCAGAAGCACAAAAAGGCAUUGCACCACAAUCAUCUGGGUGACUUGGUCAAAACCAAGAAGCACAAAAAGGCAUUGUGCUUCUUGCUUUUGACCACGCCAGAAAGGCAUUGGGCGACUUCGUCAAAAACAUGAUGUUCUCAGGGCCCACCAAGAUAGCAUCUCUGGAGAUGCAUUUAAGAAAUUUGUGAAGCUAGAGCUCAUCUAACCUGUCAUCAUUACUCUUCAUCACCCUCAAGCAAAUGGUCAGGCUGAAAGAAUGAUGCAGACCACUAAGGAAGCCAUAAAGUAAACUAUCAGAAGAAAGUGACUGAGGAGAUUUGCCCAGCUUUUCAUCACUCAACAUAUCAGUCCAAGUGGGACAACAGAAGUCAGUUCUCCUGAAUAAAAAAGGCAGCAACAUUGCAACUGUGCCUUUGACAGUUCCCAUAUAAAGCUUAGCUUAGAAUUUAUAGACAAACCAGAAUGUACUCUGGGAAUAGUACUCAUUCUUAAUUCAUUUUUCUAGAAGAAUUUGUGUUGACUAGAAUUUUAAAUGAAACAGAAAGGGGCAUGUUCCUAUUUAACUAAAAUCACGGUGUGUGUGUUAUUACAAGGGCUAGACUGUAGAUGGAACUAAGUGGCAUAACACUAACAAGAGCAAUUCAGUGUUAUGUUCAGGUUUUUUACAUUCCUGCUAGUAUUUUAUUUCUUUUAAGUUCAUUAUAUGCCACUGUGUACUUAUUUUAAGUUCAGAUAUAUUAUAUGACAAAGUUAACCAAGAAUAUUUUCUUUCACCAAAAAUAAGACUCAAACCCUCUUUUUCUGCUUAACAUCAAUCAAAUCUCCAAAAAGUUAGGAGAAUUUGGAAAGGAGUACAGAAAAGAGUGAAUGUGUCUACCAAAUACUUCUAGCUUUCCUUUUUCUGGUCACAUGGUGAAAGUUCAGGCAACCUGUGACGGAUUCAUUACAUCAUUUUUCCCUGGUGAAGAAGCCUGAGUUGAGAUAAAGCAUCAAUCAUCUUGGGUCCCAGGUUUACUACAAUAAGUAGAGCCUCUUGCCAAUCCCUCUUGGGUAUGUAUGAAGAGAACAAGAAAUAAAAUUUGUUAUAUUAAGCCACUUAGAUUUUGGAUUACUGCAGAAUAACCUAGACUAUCUUGACUUACAUAAAAUUAAU
rnacentral:lncRNA from 10 species